ACGGGAGGCAGCAGUGAGGAAUAUUGGUCAAUGGACGAGAGUCUGAACCAGCCAAGUAGCGUGCAGGAUGACGGCCCUAUGGGUUGUAAACUGCUUUUGUACGGGAAUAAAGUGACCUACGUGUAGGUUUUUGCAUGUACCGUAAGAAUAAGGACCGGCUAAUUCCGUGCCAGCAGCCGCGGUAAUACGGAAGGUCCGGGCGUUAUCCGGAUUUAUUGGGUUUAAAGGGAGCGUAGGCCGUGCUUUAAGCGUGUUGUGAAAUGUAGGCGCCCAACGUCUGCACUGCAGCGCGAACUGGAGCACUUGAGUACGCAGGAAGUAGGCGGGAUUCGUCGUGUAGCGGUGAAAUGCUUAGAUAUGGCGAAGAACUCCGAUUGCGUAGGCAGCUGACCAGGCCGUAAAUGACGCUCAUGCACGAAAGUGCGGGGAUCGAACAGGAUUAGAUACCCUGGUA
rnacentral:rRNA from 1 species